AUCUUCCGCAAUGGACGAAAGUCUGACGGAGCAACGCCGCGUGAGUGAAGAAGGUUUUCGGAUCGUAAAACUCUGUUGUUAAAGAAGAACAAGGAUGAGAGUAACUGCUCAUCCCCUGACGGUAUUUAACCAGAAUGCCACGGCUAACUACGUGCCAUCAGCCGCGGUAAUACGUAGGUGGCAAGCGUUGUCCGGAUUUAUUGGGCGUAAAGCGAGCGCAGGCGGUUCUUUAAGUCUGAUGUGAAAGCCCUCGGCUCAACCGGGGAGGGUCAUUGGAAACUGGAGAACUUGAGUGCAGAAGAGGAGAGUGGAAUUCCACGUGUAGCGGUGAAAUGCGUAGAUAUGUGGAGGAGCACCAGUGGCGAAGGCGACUCUCUGGUCUGUAACUGACGCUGAGGCUCGAAAGCGUGGGAAGCAAACAG
rnacentral:rRNA from 1 species